rnacentral:rRNA from 1 species
ACCAUUUAAAGAGUGCGUAAUAGCUCACUAGUCGAGUGACGCUGCGCCGAAAAUGUACCGGGGCUAAGCAUAGUACCGAAACUGUGGAUGCAUAUCAAAGGAUAUGCGUGGUAGGAGAGCGUUCUAAGAGCGGCGAAGUUAGAUCGAGAGGACUAAUGGAGCGCUUAGAAGUGAGAAUGCCGGUAUGAGUAGCGAAAGAUAGGUGAGAAUCCUAUCCGCCGAAAGACUAAGGUUUCCUGGGGCAGGCUCGUCCGCCCAGGGUAAGUCGGGACCUAAGGUAAGGCCGAGAGGCGUAGCCGAUGGACAACAGGUAGAGAUUCCUGUACUGAAAUUGUUCGAUAAGAGCAAAGGAGGGACGCAGGAGGCUAAUGACGCAUGUAGCUGGAAAAACAUGUGCAAGCAGUAAGAAAAAAGAUGAGUCAAAUGCUUAUGUUUAGAUUUCAAGCUGUGACGCGGAGUGAAAUCAAAGUAGCGAAGGUCAUGAUGUCACACUGCCAAGAAAAGCUUCUAGCCAGAGCAAUUUUACCCGUACCGCAAACCGACACAGGUAGUCGAGUGGAGAACACUCAGGUGAGCGAGAGAACUCUCGUUAAGGAACUCGGCAAAAUGACCCCGUAACUUCGGGAGAAGGGGUGCUGAUGGUAAAAGAUCAGCCGCAGUGAAUAGGCCCAAACAACUGUUUAUCAAAAACACAGGUAUCUGCAAAAUCGUAAGAUGACGUAUAGGUGCUGACACCUGCCCGGUGCUGGAAGGUUAAGAGGAGAGCUUAGCGCAAGCGAAGGUUUGAAUUGAAGCCCCAGUAAACGGCGGCCGUAACUAUAACGGUCCUAAGGUAGCGAAAUUCCUUGUCGGGUAAGUUCCGACCUGCACGAAAGGUGUAAUGAUUUGGGCACUGUCUCAACGAGAGACUCGGUGAAAUUAUAAUACCCGUGAAGAUGCGGGUUACCCGCGACAGGACGGAAAGACCCCAUGGAGCUUUACUGUAGCUUGAUAUUGAGUAUUUGUUAAACAUGUACAGGAUAGGUAGGAGCCAGAGAAAGUAGGACGCUAGUCUUACUGGAGGCAAUGUUGGGAUACUACCCUUGUUUGAUGGAUCCUCUAACUCGCAGAGCUGAGCGUUCUGGAGGACAGUGUCAGGUGGGCAGUUUGACUGGGGCGGUCGCCUCCUAAAAUGUAACGGAGGCGCCCAAAGGUUCCCUCAGAAUGGUUGGAAAUCAUUCGCAGAGUGUAAAGGUAUAAGGGAGCUUGACUGCGAGAGCUACAACUCGAGCAGGGACGAAAGUCGGGCUUAGUGAUCCGGUGGUUCCGCAUGGAAGGGCCAUCGCUCAACGGAUAAAAGCUACCCUGGGGAUAACAGGCUUAUCUCCCCCAAGAGUUCACAUCGACGGGGAGGUUUGGCACCUCGAUGUCGGCUCGUCGCAUCCUGGGGCUGUAGUCGGUCCCAAGGGUUGGGCUGUUCGCCCAUUAAAGCGGCACGCGAGCUGGGUUCAGAACGUCGUGAGACAGUUCGGUCCCUAUCCGUCGUGGGCGUAGGAAAUUUGAGAGGAGCUGUCCUUAGUACGAGAGGACCGGGAUGGACAUACCGCUGGUGUACCAGUUGUCUUGCCAAAGGCAUCGCUGGGUAGCUAUGUAUGGAAGGGAUAAGCGCUGAAAGCAUCUAAGUGCGAAGCCCCCCUCAAGAUGAGAUUUC